AAUGAACGCUGGCGGCAUGCCUAAUACAUGCAAGUCGAACGGCCGAACGGUAAGCGUUCUUCUCUAAUGUUGGCGGCGGGCGGGUGAGUAACGCGUGGAUAACCUACCUAUAAGACUGGGGUGACUACGGAAAACCGGAUACAAUACCGGAUCAUAUUUUGAACGGGAGGGUUCAAAAGUGAAUGACGGUCUUGGUGUCACUUAUAGACGGAUCCGCGCUGGAUUAGCUAGUUGGUAAGGUAACGGCUUACCAAGGCAACGAUGCGUAGCCGAGCUGAGAGGGUGAUCGGCCACACUGGAACUGAGACACGGUCCAGACUCCUACGGGAGGCAGCAGUGGGGAAUCUUCCGCAAUGGGCGCAAGCCUGACCCAGCAAUGCCGCGUGAGUGAUGAAGGCCUUCGGAUCGUAAAGCUCUGUUAUUAGGAAAGAACAUAUGCGUGUGUAACUGUGGCCAUCUUGACGGUACCUAAUGAGUAAGCCACGGCUAACUACGUG
rnacentral:rRNA from 1 species